CCGGGGGAGGCGCUGCCCGCGGAGCCUCGGCGGGAGCGCGGCCCCGCACCCGCGCCUGGACAGACGGAAUCCCCGGCAGGACAGACGGAACACCCCGCAGGACAGACGGAAUCCGGGGCAGGAGCGCAGCCCAGCAUCCGCACCUGGGCGGGAAGGACAGACAGAAUCCUCACCUGGGGGAGCAGGACAGACAGAAUCCGCACCCGGGCGGGCAGGAGGCCCCGCACCCGCACCCGGGCAGCGCCGGCAGCCGCCCUGCCCCAUCCCGCCAGCAUGAGCGGCCGCACCGGGGGAACCGCGCCGGGCACCGCGGGGCUCUGCCCCGGCCACGGAUGAGGUCUCUCCUAUGGACAUUGAACUCCCAGCUGCCUGAGCCUGCUGCCUGUGAUGGAAGAGCUGGAUGUGAAUGUGAGUUCCAGUGAGGGCUUCGGCAUCGCGGAGAAGAUCCUGCUGCUCUCCUUCGUCUCCGCCGUCAUCCUCAUGGCCAUCCUGGGCAACCUGCUGGUCAUGGUGGCCGUGUGCCGGGACAGGCAGCUCCGGAAAAUCAAGACCAACUAUUUCAUCGUGUCCCUGGCCUUUGCUGACCUGCUGGUGUCGGUGCUGGUGAUGCCCUUUGGAGCCAUGGAGCUGGUCCAGGACAACUGGAUCUAUGGGGAGAUGUUCUGCCUGGUGAGGACCUCCCUGGACGUGCUGCUGACCACAGCAUCCAUCCUGCACCUCUGCUGCAUCUCCCUGGACAGGUACUAUGCCAUCUGCUGCCAGCCCCUGGUGUACAGGAACAAGAUGACCCCGCUGCGCAUCGCGCUGAUGCUGGGGGGCUGCUGGGUGAUCCCCACCUUCAUCUCCUUCCUCCCCAUCAUGCAGGGCUGGAACAGCAUUGGCAUCAUUGAUCUGAUCCAGCAAAGGCAGUUCAACAAGGCCUCCAACUCCACCUACUGCAUCUUCAUGGUCAACAAGCCCUACGCCAUCACCUGCUCCGUGGUGGCCUUCUACAUCCCCUUCCUGCUGAUGGUGCUGGCCUACCACCGCAUCUACGUGACAGCGCGGGCGCACGCGCGGCAGAUCCGCCUGCUGCAGCGCGCGGGGAACCCGGCCGAGCCCCGCCAGGGCCCCCAGGAGCCACGGCAGAGCCUUCAGGAGACACAGCAACACCUCCAGGAGACACAGCAGGGCCUUCAGGAACCACGGCAGGGCCAACACCCCCAGGAGCCACAUCAGGGCCCUCAGGAGCCACGGCUGGGCCUUCAGGAACCAUGGCGAGGCCUUCACGAGCCACAGCAACACCCUCAGGAGCCACAUCAGGGCCCUCAGGAGCCACGGCAGCACCCCCCUGACCAGCACAGCAGCCACCGCAUGAAAACAGAGACCAAAGCUGCCAAGACCCUGUGCAUCAUCAUGGGCUGCUUCUGCCUCUGCUGGGCCCCCUUCUUUGUCACCAACAUCGUGGAUCCCUUCAUUAACUACACCGUGCCCGGCAAGCUGUGGACGGCUUUCCUGUGGCUGGGCUACAUCAACUCGGGCUUGAACCCUUUCCUCUACGCCUUCCUCAACAAGGCUUUCAGACGUGCCUUCCUCAUCAUCCUCUGCUGCGGCGACGAGCGCUACCGAAGGCCUUCCAUCCUGGGCCAGACCAUGCCCUGCUCCACCACCACCAUCAAUGGCUCCACGCACGUGCUGAGGGUAAACAGCUGGAAGUGUUGAGCUCACUGCCAGAGGCUUCAGACAGACACUUUGUGCCACACGACAUCCUGGGACACCUCAAUGACUCCUCUUUAGCUUAAUGAACCUCUAACAAUCAGCACCACCUGCUCUUGCUGCUCUUGCUCCACUCUGGGACGGCCGCAGAACACGGAGGAAGGUACAAGGUGUUACACAACGGGCACCACCAGGAACAAGAGAAGCUUCCCAUCCACCCCGACCCCGAAUCCCAAGAGUCCUGUUUCUAGUCCUGGCCCAGAAGAGGAGGAACAGAGCAAUUUUAGGAUAUCCCAAGGAUUCACAGACAGCAGCACUUGAAAAUCCAUCCAUCUGCAUUGUCCUGGUGCUUCCUGCAGUGAAUUCCCAGGAAUGUCCAGCUGUGGGAGCUGGGUGGGAGCAUGGGGAGGGUCAGGACUGCUGUCCCUGUCCCUGCAGGAGCAGCUGGAGCUGUGCCAGAGCCCUGCUCCAGGAGUGAGGCAUUCCUGGCAAAGCCAGGGCCAAAACAGCUCCAAACCAGCCCGUGCGGAGACUCCUGCUGCCCCUCUCCUCUCCUGCUGCCCCCUGCUCAGCCCACCCCACCCUGCAGGCCACAGCUGUGGGGUGGCACCGAGCUGCCCCAUCCCUGCUGGCUCUGCGUGGGCCUGGGCACUGCCAGGGGAGGAGCAGCCCCACGUUUUCUCCAGGAGAACAAGAGGAAAUGUUUGCUGCCCUUUGGUUCCAGCCCCAGCUGCUGCUCCCCGAGCCUGCAGAGCUCUGCCCUGCCCUGUGGAGUUUCCUGGCCCGGGAGGAGCCCAGGAGCUGAGUGGGACCAGCCCAGCUCAGAGCCACAGCCCUGCUCUGCCAUUCCCUGGGGAUGGGACGUGUCCUGGAGCCCAGAGCUGUCCCCAUCCCUCCCUGAGCAAACUUUGGGCGUUCUGAGGCAGCAGAAGCUUGGCCAGGAGCCAGAGCCAAUGGAUCACUAAGUGCCAUCUUGGAAACAAACCACCUAAAUCCUUUUCUAGCUACAUUUGGAGGAGAGACUUCUACUUACCUUUGCCACCUUUAUUUUUCUAUCUGUUGCUGGUCUCUUCCAGUCGAGGCAAGGAGUGUUCCAGAUUUUCCAGUCUCACAUUUGCCAAGACCUCAGUCCUCAGCUGCUUCCUGCAUGUUGGUGUUGCCACGUUCCUCGUGGGCUGCUUCCCCCUUUGCAUGGAAAGGGCGGGCAAGGCUCUGAACUCCACAAAUUUGGGAAAAGGAUUUUCAUGCAGGAUCAAGAGCACGAGCCUCGACCCUUUUUAGGUGAAGAUCUACCCCAAGACGCCACCCUGAGCCUAGAAAAUACAAUUGUACUUUGUCAUAUCGUGGAACCAUGUACAGAUAUUUUUAAUGUACAAAGAAAAGCUGACAUUAUUUAUUAUUUUUUAUCAGGAACAUGUGGUUUUUUCAUUAAAAGCUUCUAGACCAA